UCUGCAUCUCCCACUUAAACACAAAGUCUGUGAGGGGCUUUGUUACGGAGGUGUCCCUGGAGCCUGGCAGGUUGUCAUCAGUCAGAAGAAUGGAGCCCCGGGGGAUCACGUCAUGCAACACUCAUCUCAGGCUCUGCCUGAUGGAGGCACACGGAGCACAAAGGGCCCUUUAGGAUCUGUCAAGCAGAUCGGAACUGACGCAAAGAAAAUCCGUGGGCUUCAGAGCAAGGACACAGUGGAGCAUCCAGAGACAGGAAAAGGUCCCUGAGAAAAUACAAUCCAGUUGCCUGGCAAGCAAGCACCUCUAACUCUGUCAGGUGGCCACCAACUCUUUGGAGCUCCAGAAAGAAGAGGAUACAAGUAGCCAUCAGACUGUCUGGGUUUUGGACCAGACACUGCCCCUAGGACUUUUGCAGGGAUGACUGGCAGAGGAGCCUGCGAACCAGGGCCACGUUCUUUUAUAAACCUUCUCCAUUGGGAUUAAACUGUAACAAUUCCUAUUGUUUAAAUAUCUGCCGGUGCGGGAUAAAGCACACCAAGCCAACAGGGUUCCACGUGGAGAGAUUUAAUGGGAGAAUGAGACAAGGGGAAGGGACAAGAGAAAGAAGAGAAAAAGAGGGAGAGGGCAGAAAAUGUCUGCCUCUUAUUUGGAAUAUGACGGAACUGCUCCCAGGUGGGAACUAAGCCAAAGGUAUACUGGGAAUGUAUGGCCAUUGCCAUGGCAACAGUGACCAAAUGGUGUAGCUGCUGGAGGCGAAAGCAAUUCCUGAUACCAACACCUA
rnacentral:lncRNA from 1 species